rnacentral:rRNA from 1 species
UGGGGAAUAUUGGACAAUGGGCGCAAGCCUGAUCCAGCCAUGCCGCGUGAGUGAUGAAGGCCUUAGGGUUGUAAAGCUCUUUCGCCGGGGAAGAUAAUGACGGUACCCGGAGAAGAAGCCUCGGCUAACUCCGUGCCAGCAGCCGCGGUAAGACGGAGGAGGCUAGCGUUGUUCGGAAUUACUGGGCGUAAAGCGUACGCAGGUGGCGAGACAAGUCGGAUGUGAAAGCCCGGGGCUCAACCCCGGAUGUGCAUCCGAUACUGUUUUGCUGGAGUCCGGAAGAGGAGAGCGGAAUUCCCAGUGUAGAGGUGAAAUUCGUAGAUAUUGGGAAGAACACCGGUGGCGAAGGCGGCUCUCUGGUCCGGUACUGACACUCAAGUACGAAAGCGUGGGGAGCAAACA